AAUCAACGCUGGCGGCGUGCCUCAGACAUGCAAGUCGAACGCGAAAGUCCCCUUCGGGGGACAAGUAGAGUGGCGCACGGGUGAGUAACACGUAGGUAAUCUACCUUUGGAUGGGGAAUAACAACCGGAAACGGUUGCUAAUACCGCAUAAUGCAGCGGCACCUAAUGGUGACAGUUGUUAAAGCGGGGGAUCGAAAGACCUCGCGUCUAAAGAGGAGCCUGCGGCGGAUUAGCUAGUUGGAAGGUAAUGGCUUACCAAGGCUACGAUCCGUAACCGGCCUGAGAGGGCGGUCGGGUCACACUGACACUGACAUACGGGUCAGACUCCUACGGGAGGCAGCAGUCGGGAAUUUUGGGCAAUGGGCGAAAGCCUGACCCAGCAACGCCGCGUGAAGGAUGAAAUCCCUCGGGAU
rnacentral:rRNA from 1 species